UACGUAGGGUGCGAGCGUUGUCCGGAAUUAUUGGGCGUAAAGAGCUCGUAGGCGGUUUGUCACGUCGGGAGUGAAAACUCGGGGCUUAACCCCGAGCCUGCUUCCGAUACGGGCAGACUAGAGGUAUGCAGGGGAGAACGGAAUUCCUGGUGUAGCGGUGAAAUGCGCAGAUAUCGGGAGGAACACCGGUGGCGAAGGCGGUUCUCUGGGCAUUACCUGACGCUGAGGAGCGAAAGUGUGGGGAGCGAACAGG
rnacentral:rRNA from 1 species